AAUGAAAAUAUGUCAUAAUACCAAUGUGUAUCUACUCUGAAUGAAUGCGACCAAUGAGUUGACCAACGUUAGGUACAUUUCCGAACUGUUUGUUCAAACCUUUAUUUUACCUUCACGUAGGGUGAAGAGGGUGAGAGAAAACGGAUACCCUGUCCUUUGGACAACAAACACACUGUAUUUGAAGAUAAUUUGACUAAACACCUGAAGAAGUGUAACUCCAAGGAGAAACCAAAACCUAUUUAUUACGUAAAGGAUAUUAAUGCUGGAUGUGCAAGUGAAGAUGAAACGGUUAAAGAGAUAUCCAUUGCUGAUCGAACCAAAGAGGAACUGGAUGACUUGAUUGUGAAGCUCAAAAAUGCAUUGCAAGGACUAAAUACUAAGCUCAUUGAAAACACACUUUCACAUUCUGCUCUACACGAGUCUCUAAAUGAUCCAAAGAAUGGAGACUCUG
ensembl:processed_transcript